UUCAUCGUCUCCACUAUGGGUUUUGUUGGGUUAGCGGGCUUCGUUUGAACCCGACGUGUCGAAUUGCGUAUUUGUCUUGCGUGCGUGUGCGUGUGCGUGUGCGUGUCAUUUGAAACUCGACUACUGCAGCCAACAUUUUCUGGCGAAUAGCAAGAAGAAACAAAAGGGACAGAUUGAAUUUCCUUCGCGUUCGGCCCUGCGUCUACGUGCGGCUCUGUUGUGCAACAUUCCUCCCUCCUUCUCUCCUUCUCUCCUCCUUCCAAUUUCAAGUUUGUUUCACAAGAAAUUGCAAGAUAAAAAGAAGGAGAAAGAGUUUAGCCAGCCAUUGAGUUUCACACAAUCAUCAUCAUCAUCAUCAUCAUCAUCGUCGUCGUCGUAAAAAAGAAAAAACGAAAGAAACACAACAGACAAAAAAGAAGAAAAAGAAAAGGACGGAGCCACCUGGCGCCGUUCGCCGACAUGGACAAAUUUAAUACAUUCAUAUUGUGUUCACGGGCUCAAGUAUCGGCGUGUCGAGAAAGAAAUGUUCACCCCCUUUCCUUUUUGUUUUUGAUUGUUGUUGUCGAAAGAAAACAACAAUCAGCUUCUUCAGCAGUCGCAGACUGAGAAAUGAACUUUUGCUUUACACAGCCGGCCGCUAGAUGGCAGUCGAUGGCGCAGUCCCAAAACAAACCAAUGAAAGCGGCACCUUAAUCUCCUCGUGUCGCAAUCAGAAGAAGAUCGUGAGUCGUUGAGCCAAAGAAAGGAGAGAAAAACAACAAAACGCCAAUGUCAUGCGCUGAUGACACAUCGACGAAAACUAAACUAAAGAAAAAAAUAAAAAAGACUUGCCAGUCAGACGAGUCAAGAUGACGACACAGCAGCGCACCGCAGGAAGCGCCGAACUUUGCGAAUGAAUCAAAAUUAGGCUGAGCGUUUGCAUUUUAGCUAAACAUGUGCAACCGAUCGGAAUUGAACAGAUGCUCCCCCCUUCGACCACCACCGCUACCACCGAAAAAGGUGAACGAAUAAAAAAGAAAGAAGAAGAAGAAGAAAUAAAAAGGCUGAAGGUCGUGCCUCACCUUUCUACCGCACCGCCACCACAGCCCGUGUCACGCCGCCAGGGGCGCUAUUUUUUCUCAUUUGAUUCUCUCGCAACGAUUUCCAUGAAAAACAACAACAACAACAACAACAAUAAAGAGAAAAAAGAGUUUCGAACAAACCAAAAUCCUCCCCCUCCCUAAACAAAAAAUGAAGCCUAAAAAGAAAAAGAAAGCAAAUCUGAGAAUGCGGAUGGUUGUGAUUCCUCUUCUCAUAUCAACUUGAAACGAAGGCCAAAAACCAAAAGAAGCCACAAAACGGUAAAAAAUGCCAAAACGAAAAAGAAAGAAAGAAAGAAAGAAAGAAAAAGAGUGAAGGAAGAGGAUUGUAACGGUAGGUGUCGGUCGCUUCAAUGAGAUUAGUCCUCUGCUAAAACAGACGCGCGUUAUGUUUGCGUCAAAGUGAAGUGACACACAAAAAAGACAAUCAUCGAUCUCUUUUCUCCUCUGUCUUUCAAUUCUGCUCUGAGCUUUUUACAACCGGGUUAAAAAACAAGGUAUUUCCUCUCUCUCUGACUCUUUUUUGGCUCGUUGCCCUUAAGAAUUCCACCCCCAGCCAUCAGGGGGAUGGCCCUCACCGGCUCACCCCACUCUUUUUUUUCGACACAAACCAGAACAAGAAAGAAGAAGAGAGUCUUAAAAAGAAGGGGCUGCUACUGUUCACUAACCAAGCCCGAAAAUAAAGCGCAUUCCCCACUCACACACACACACACACACAGAGUCUAUGUGCUGUUAUUAUAAUAAUCCGGACCGGUUCCAAAGAUGUGUGCUCCUACUUCAAAAAGAACUAGAAGAAGAACAAGAAGAAAGAGAAGAAGAAGAAGAAGACGAAGACGACGCCGACCGUAAAGGGAAGGAAACCUUUCUAAAAAUAUCUACAUCUUCUCUCUCUCUCUCUCUCUCUCCUUCCCACUUUUCUUUUACGUACGUCCCCACUCAUCUUACGUCUGCAUGUGCUCCGGCCGGCAGAUGGCGGCCAUUUUGAAUGGCUAAUUCCAUUACGGCACAGCCAACGUAAACACGAAUGACGUUCAACCAUCACAACUUUUUUGUCCCCUCCCGUUUCCUUCUUCUCAAACUCUUGGACGUCGACAUCCAUCAGCAGCCGACGGCCACCCUCUAACUCCACUACCAACGGGCAAAAAAAAAAACAAAAUAAAGCGGAUGAGAACAUUUCCGGAAGGCAACUCAAAAAAUAAAAAUAAAUAAAUACAUCGAAACGUUGAGUGACGUCACCGACACCUCGACCAAGGGUGAGCGAUCACUUCUAAAAUUAGACGAGAACGAGAACGAGAACGAAAAAAAAACAAAAAUAAAUCAGAAAAACGAGUCCAUCUCCACAUGGGAAAAAAUAAAAAUGAAAAAUAAAAAAAGAACGGGACUUUUUUUUUUUCUUCCACAAUGCGGAGGAGGUGUGAUGAGAGAAAAUGCGAUCUUAACGAGCGUCUCUUGUUUCCACCGCCCUUGGGUUGCCUUGGAAACGAGGGGGGUGAGAAAACAAUUUUUUUUUUCAACAACAACAUAAAAACACAAUUUUCUUUUCUUUUUUCUUUCGUAAUUCUCCGUUUGCCAUGUUUGGGGUGGGGGGGAUCUGGCCGUUCCCACCAGCCCCGUGAAUCGGACAAAGAAAACCAAGAAAGAUAAAAAAGUCUAUUCCAUUCGAAUAGACUUAAUGGUAUGCGAGAGAUAAUAAUAAGCCAACCAUCUUGUGGCCAUUAUCUUCUGUCCAAUGGAAUGCCAGCCUCCAAGCCAAACCAAUUUCGUUUGCUCCACAUUUUCAUUCGUUUUUUGUUUUUUUUUGGUUUUUUGUUGCUUCACCUACGUGUGACCGAAAUCUUCUUAUCUUUGCCUCUUCUCUUGGUCAACAAAGUCAAUAAACCAAACCAACGAUAUCGACAGUGACGACUCGAUGUGCCAGUCCGCACCGCUCAACUAUUAUAUGAAUAAUCAAUUGGCCUUUUUUUUUCUUUUGAGAGAAGAGAAACGAAAAACCAAAACCAAAACAAAAAAAAAAAGCAACGGGAAUAUCGAAACCACCGGGGCCGGCGAUUCAAGUUCGUUCACCUCCGCAGCAACCGACUCGGCAAUUCAACGAUUCAAAAAGAUAAAAAUUCAAAAAAAAGAAAAAAAGAGCCCCACACACACACCAACGUCAAUUAAGGGCCACAAAAUGUCGAUCCCUCUGGCCACUAUCGCAACGACGAAAAUGAGUAGAGUGUCCAUCUUCUUAUCUUUCUCUUCCCGCCCACCUUCUUCAUUUUUUUUUUUUGUUUUCUUGACCCAAAAAAAAACAAACAAAAAACAGAAAUUACGCAAUUGAUUGACUGGCUGUGGGCAGUCGUGAAGCAAAUCUAAAAAAAAGAGAUGAGAAACGCUUUCAAGUUGAAAGAGCCCCGAAAAAAAAAAGAAAGAAAUUGAAAUAAAUAGCGGGCAGCAACAAGUCAACAUCGGCAGCAGGUGUGUCCCUCACGCAGACAAACGCAGAGAGACACACCUGCGCACGUUGUCUGUUGCGACGACGAAGACGAGAUGAUGAGCUGCUAAAGGGGAAAGAAGCAGAAGAAGAAGUGCAGGUUAGUGGAGGACAUCGACCCCCUUUUUCUUUUUCUUUCUUUACCUCUCCCGAAGAGACGCGCACACACACGCACGCACGCACGCAAAAGAACACGUUCCAUUCCAACCUCACGGCUGACUGACUGGAUAAGAAAGAAAAGAAAGAAAAAAACGCUCCCGGGAAUCGUACAGGCAGCCCGCGUUCGUUCAAAUCGCCGUUUGGUCUUUUUUUUCUUUUUCUAUUUUUUUGUUUCAUUUUUUGGGAAAGGAGCAGAAAGAAACAGUUGACGCGCAACAAUCAAACCAUCUCUUCGCCCUUGCAACCGAAAAAUGAUUCUAACGGAUGAUCAUGGCAUUGCAGCCAUUUGUUUUUGUUUUGUUUUCCAUUUUCCCUGAUGAAAUAUAAACGCAAAACGGAAUCUCCUUCGUCGGCCAAAAAAAACAAAAACAUUCCACCAAACAAUUCACAACAAAAGAAAAUCGGGUUUCGGCUAAUCCACUCUGGAAUUCGUCCAAAUUAUUUCUCGUUGUCCUGUUGUUGUUGUUUUUUCACACAUCAAAGGAGAAUGAAAAUCUCUUUCUUUAAAUGGACUUUUCUUCCCAGCCGAUUGAGACAAAGUCACGAGCAAAGUCAUCAAAGCGGAACGUUUUCCCUUUCACUAUUCAGUCCCCCUCCCCCCUCAUUUCCCAUUGGGCUCGGCUCAUUGGAUGGCAGUUUUUUCUUAAAAAUUCGACAAACACAAGCACCGGAUGUUGUCGACGACGAAAACGAAUUAGUUCCGGAUCAAAUAACAAACGAGGCGGCAACGCAGCCCUAUCUCGAAGAGCCCCAGACUUUGACAAACAACGCCAGGUGUCGCGAUUUCUUUGUUUACCUUUUUUUGUUAAGGGGUAAAAAGAGAACCGGAAUGUAAUCAACGCCAAUGUGAGAAAGAAUUAGAGUGGAAAUAGGGGCGACAGGAUGUCCGGUUCAACACACAAGCCCAAAACUGACAGCAGCCAAAGAAUUUCGAAACCGGGCCAAAUACAAAACGCAUCCGUCAUUUGUUUCCAUCUUGGAUAAUCAAAUCAAACAUCGGUAAAUGAAACAUUUCUCGUGUCUCUGUGUGUUGAUUAGAAAAGAAGGUGAUUGCGGACGGCAGACACAUCGACGCAACGGGGAGGAAUGUCGUUUUGAUAUUGACCAAACCCAAUGGAAAGAUAAGCAAUCGAUUAAUCGAAUUCGGCUUUGCCUCAGGCGACGACCUUGCCUGCAGGGACCAUGCACCUCGCUCUUUUGUUUCCUUUCCACACACACACACACACACACACACACACUGAGAAUAAAAAAGAAAGAAAGAAAAGUACUGGGCCCUAACUAACUGUGCAGUGAUUAUCCAAACAUUCUUGCAUGACACUUUCAUUCGCUCUUCAACCAGUCAAUAAAUAUACAUCAAUAGCUGUUAACUGGCGACAGCUGCUGCACCUCAAGAGACGUGCGGGCAAUAACACGUUUCAGUUGUUCCAACAACUGAACACAACUACAAUCUCCUUUUUUUCUUAACGCCUUUUUUUUUUUUUAGGUGGGGGGGGGGUUGAAAAAACUCUUUACCUUGGUGAGAUUAGCCCGUUCUGCUGACGGUCAAUGGACUGCGACGUAAUGAUGUUUAGUGUGUGUAAUCAACAAGGUGUGUUUGCGCUAGGCAGAGGCAGGCACUGGAACAUUCCACAUCGUUUCUUCGCUGGUCGUCUUGCUGAAUGUCGUAUCCCUUUUGACGAGAAACCAGAAAGAACAAGAGCCGACACUGACCAAGUUCACAUUGCCACUGGAAACGCGAAACCACGUGCAAAAAAAAACAAAAACGGGUGGGGGGAUAGGGGACAAAAUCAAUGUGUUUAUGUUGUGUUGGCGUUUUGUUUCUUUCUAGUUUCGUUAUUGUGUGUGGUCGUUUUGUUGGACGCGAGUAGAAGAAUCGCGCGCGCACCGUCCACUCCAAUCAACGUCCCGACUCGUAGUGCCGACGCCGAGUCAGCCAGAACACCAAAACCUAAAGGCAUGCCACAAAAAUGGAUGCAUACACCGGCUGAGAGAGAGAGAGAGAGGGGGAGCAACGAAACCUUGUUCUGCACCUCCACGGCCACCCUCUUUUUCAUCCACCCUCACAAUUUUAGGCGCCCAAGGUAAUUUCAAUUCGCCAUCUAUGAACCGAUUUUUCAGCUUUAUCUAAACGCCAUCUAACGGCGACAGUCUGUACAAAAAAAAUUACAAUAAGCUCGUUUCAAACUGCACGCCGUCCCCGAUAGCUUAAAAGUGUCACGAUUGCAGAUAACUCUAUGUAAUACACGAGAAAAAUAUUCACAUUAGCAUCUGCGGGCAGUGUACCCUUAUCUUUUAACGUAUUUUUUUUGUUCUUGUUGUCGACUGGAUGUCGGCCAUGUCAACAAUGGUACAAAAUGUUUAGAUACAUCUGCCAGCAUUCACUUCCACAGAAACAAGUAAACACCAGCUAAUAAUAAAAUGUGAUUGAUGACGACGCUGAAUACCAAAAACCAAACGUACCGAAUCGCGUGGCUGUCACUUAUUCUAUCUCAGCCAACUGCGCCAUUUCAUUUGCUUCCAUCAACAUCAGAAAAUGGCAGAAUCAGCUGACACGAUAGCAUUACAAGUGAUCAAUCAAUUUGAAACUAGAAUCCAACUGGUUUCUGUACAGAUCCUUGUGUCUCUAAAAUUGAUUCAUUUUUUGAGAAAUGUGUUGAUUUUUCAGUGACAGAUUUGAUUUGAACUGCACGUAGUCGUAGAAUAAAUUCAAGUCGAAUAUAUUUUUAAGCUGAA